rnacentral:lncRNA from 1 species
AUGGAUAUAAUUCUACUCAUUGGUAAUAAUAAAAAAUAACUUCCUAUUGAAUUUUACUAGCACAUUAGGCAGUUUAUUAGUUCUACUUAAAGUUGUCACCAUAUCAGUUGCUGGUAAAACAUUCAGUGCUCUGGUUUUUUUAUUAUAAAGGUAAUACAUGUUCAACAACAUUCCAGCAAUACAAAGGGUCAGAGAUAGAAAAUUUUCUUCUGCACUUAGCCUCCCCAUUCUGACUCUUCAAAGGGGAAGGUCAUUCUCUGUGCCCUCUUCUUAAAAUGGAAAG